AGAGUUUGAUCCUGGCUCAGAUUGAACGCUGGCGGCAGGCUUAACACAUGCAAGUCGAGCGGAGAUGAGGUGCUUGCACCUUAUCUUAGCGGCGGACGGGUGAGUAAUGCUUAGGAAUCUGCCUAUUAGUGGGGGACAACAUUCCGAAAGGAAUGCUAAUACCGCAUACGUCCUACGGGAGAAAGCAGGGGAUCUUCGGACCUUGCGCUAAUAGAUGAGCCUAAGUCGGAUUAGCUAGUUGGUGGGGUAAAGGCCUACCAAGGCGACGAUCUGUAGCGGGUCUGAGAGGAUGAUCCGCCACACUGGGACUGAGACACGGCCCAGACUCCUACGGGAGGCAGCAGUGGGGAAUAUUGGACAAUGGGGGGAACCCUGAUCCAGCCAUGCCGCGUGUGUGAAGAAGGCCUUAUGGUUGUAAAGCACUUUAAGCGAGGAGGAGGCUACUGAGACUAAUACUCUUGGAUAGUGGACGUUACUCGCAGAAUAAGCACCGGCUAACUCUGUGCCAGCAGCCGCGGUAAUACAGAGGGUGCGAGCGUUAAUCGGAUUUACUGGGCGUAAAGCGUGCGUAGGCGGCUUUUUAAGUCGGAUGUGAAAUCCCCGAGCUUAACUUGGGAAUUGCAUUCGAUACUGGGAAGCUAGAGUAUGGGAGAGGAUGGUAGAAUUCCAGGUGUAGCGGUGAAAUGCGUAGAGAUCUGGAGGAAUACCGAUGGCGAAGGCAGCCAUCUGGCCUAAUACUGACGCUGA
rnacentral:rRNA from 1 species